GACGAACGCUGGCGGCGUGCCUAAUACAUGCAAGUUGAGCGAUGAAGAUUGGUGCUUGCACCAAUUUGAAGAGCAGCGAACGGGUGAGUAACGCGUGGGGAAUCUGCCUUUGAGCGGGGGACAACAUUUGGAAACGAAUGCUAAUACCGCAUAACAACUUUAAACAUAAGUUUUAAGUUUGAAAGAUGCAAUUGCAUCACUCAAAGAUGAUCCCGCGUUGUAUUAGCUAGUUGGUGAGGUAAAGGCUCACCAAGGCGAUGAUACAUAGCCGACCUGAGAGGGUGGUCGGCCAAAUUGGGACUGAGACACGGCCCAAACUCCUACGGGAGGCAGCAGUAGGGAAUCUUCGGCAAUGGACGAAAGUCUGACCGAGCAACGCCGCGUGAGUGAAGAAGGUUUUCGGAUCGUAAAACUCUGUUGGUAGAGAAGAACGUUGGUGAGAGUGGAAAGCUCAUCAAGUGACGGUAACUACCCAGAAAGGGACGGCUAACUACGUG
rnacentral:rRNA from 1 species